CGACUUAGCCGCUGGAGCGAACAGUGCGCUGGUAGUACGAGGCUAGCGGCGCGGCCUUUGAUUCUUGGUAGUCAAUGGACAUGUUACAACCGUGAUUUCGACAUAAACGAAGUGCUGCGUUUUUGCGCAUCUCUCGAACAGUAACCUGCACCGUUUAUUCAAAGGGAGCCCCAGUUUUGAACAUCGUCUGCUGAACGUUGUUUUCUCUGUGCAAAUCGACUUCAAAUAGAUUGGACGGCAGGACGUACCUUGGGGUAUUUUGCUGCAGCAAUGGAUUUCAGUAUACUUUGACACAUAAUUUAUGUCAUCAAGACUCAUGUCACAAACAAUUGGUUAUUCAUAAUACAUAGUAACAAGAGGUGUGAUCAACUAUGCAGUUUACAUUGUGCAAGUUAGUGGUCCAAGUUGAGAGAGUAGUGAACAGUCUACCAUCUUCCUGCAUUUUGUUGACCUUUGGAGAUACUGUCUUUCAAAGAUGACAGCUGCAGGGGCUCGUCCAGGAGCUGCUGCUGCUUUCCCUCUGUGUAUUGAUUUUCUUCUUCCAGCUGAUUUGGCUUGAAUAGGGAUCCUCCUACCUCGCCGCAAAACUCCGUAAUUCUUUCGGGUGACACUGCCCCCAAAGCACCAACCGAAUUUAUGGAAAGCUGUAAUCAGAUGAGAAUUUGUGGAUUUGGUGGAUAGUUUAUUGUAUGUUGUAGUAAACUUUUCUAUGCUUUGCUGGAACAUAACAUCAGCCCUCAGUUGCUUUUUAAUAUCUUCGGAUAUUAAGUCAACUACCUGACAGAGUUGGUCUUGUUGCUGUGUUUCUUGUUUUAGAGAGACAGUGGUAUCAGAAUCAUGCUCUUUGUUGCACUGCUUUGUGUCAUCAUCUACACACCAU